UACGGGGGGGGCAAGCGUUGUUCGGAAUUACUGGGCGUAAAGGGCUCGUAGGCGGCCAACUAAGUCAGACGUGAAAUCCCUCGGCUUAACCGGGGAACUGCGUCUGAUACUGGAUGGCUUGAGGUUGGGAGAGGGAUGCGGAAUUCCAGGUGUAGCGGUGAAAUGCGUAGAUAUCUGGAGGAACACCGGUGGCGAAGGCGGCAUCCUGGGCCAACACUGACGCUCAGGCGCGAAAGCGUGGGGAGCAAACAGG
rnacentral:rRNA from 1 species